UUCCAAGGUCUCUGAGGAGCAACUGCCACAACUGACAAAAAAGCAGUUACUGAGCUCUGAGGAGCAACUGCCACAACAGACUUGUGGUGGAGCAGCAGGUUGAAAACACCGCUGCUCCUGAAGGCUCCCACUGCUGAGGUGGCUGGAUUCUGAAGAAGGCCAUUGAGUUUGGGCUGAGGAAUUUACCAUCUCCUUGCCUGCAAGUCAUUGCUGAUCUUCUCAGAACCAAUCCUGAUCCCCUUGCUUCUAGAUCUAGAAUUCAACUCAAGUCCCAGACAGUCCAGAGGAACUGACAAGAGAAAUGUCAAGUCAUCAAGAAGACAUUCUCAUUAGAUGUCUGUGGGCCCCUACUACAGCUGCCUAUUGCCAUUAUCAAUGGAACCUGUGCCGAAGUGGUCGCAGCAGUGGGAAAGUCACUUCUUAUUGAUUCUGAUGCUGCAUACUAUAUACAUAUUUCCCAUGCAUUCAAGAAACCUGGUCUCUAAAACACAGGAACUUAAUGCUAUCAAUUAAAGUGAAUUAAAUAAUGGCUUGGU